GGUUUGAUUAUGGCUCUUGUGAUUGAACGCUGGCGGGAUGCUUUACACAUGCAAGUCGAACGGCAGCACGGACUUCGGUCUGGUGGCGAGUGGCGAACGGGUGAGUAAUGUAUCGGAACGUGCCUAGUAGCGGGGGAUAACUACGCGAAAGCGUAGCCAAUACCGCAUACGCCCUUCGGGAGAAAGCGGGGGGACCUUUCGGGCUCCUGCACUAUUAGAGCGGCCGAUAUCGGAUUAGCUAGUUGGUGGGGUAACGGCUCACCAAGGCGACGAUCCGUAGCUGGUUUGAGAGGACAUAUGACCAGCCACACUGGGACUGAGACACGGCCCAGACUCCUACGGAGUGCAGCAGUGGGGAAUUUUGGGACAAUGGGGAAACCCUGAUCCGUUUGCCAUCCUGGGCGAGUGUGCGAUGAAGGCCUUCGGGUUGUAAAGCACUUUUGGCAGGAAAAAGAAACGGCACGGGAUAAUACCCCGCAACUGACGGUACCUGCAGAAUAAGCACCGCUAACUAGCCGUGCCAGCAGCCGCGGUAAUACGUAGGGUGCAAGCGUUAAUCGGAAUUACCGGGCGUAAAAGCGUGCGCAGGCGGUUCGGAAAAAGAAAGAUGUGAAAUCCCAGAGCUUAACUUUGGAACUGCAUUUUUAACUACCGAGCCAGAGUGUGUCAGAGGAGGUGGAAUUCCGCGUGUAGCAGUGAAAUGCGUAGAUAUGGAGGAACACCGAUGGCGAAGGCAGCCUCUGGGAUAACACUGACGCUCAUGCACGAAAGCGUGGGGAGCAAACAUGAUUAGAUACUCUGGUAGUCCACGCCCUAAACGAUGUCAAUCUAGCUGUUAGCCUCGGGCCUGGUAGCGCAGCGCUAACGCAGUGGUUGACCGCCUGUGAGUACGGUCGCAAGAUUAAAACUCAAAGGACUGACGGGGACCCGCACAAGCGGUGGAUGAUGUGGGAUUAAUUCGAUGCAACGCGAAAAACCUUACCUACCCUUGACAUGGUUCAAACCCGGAGAUUUGGGAGUGCUCGCAAGAGAACUGGAACACAGGUGCUGCAUGGCUGUCGUCAGCUCGUGUCGUGAGAUGUUGCGUUAAGUCCCGCAACGAGCGUAACCUCGCCGUCAUUAGUUGCUACGAAAGCGCACUCUAAUGAGACUGCCGGUGACAAACCGGAGGAAGGUGGGAUUACGCACGUCAAGUCCUCAUGGCCCUUAUGGUAGGUCACAUCGUUACACGAUCGGGACAGAGGGGUCGCCAACCCGCGAGGGGGGAGCCAAUCCCAGAAAAACCCGAUCGGCCGUCCGAUCGUAGUCUGCGAAACUCGACUGCGUGAAGUCGGAAUCGCUAGUAAUCAGAUCGGCAAGCAUGUCGCGGUGAAUACGUUCCCGGGUCUUGUACACACUGCCCGUCACACCGCGGUGGAGUGGCCUUUACCGAAGUGGCAGUUGUAGCUUAACCGUAAGGAGGGCGAUUACCACGGCAGGAUUCAUGAUCAGUAAAGCCGUACCUAUGCACCCC
rnacentral:rRNA from 1 species